rnacentral:misc_RNA from 1 species
AAUUGAUCUUAUAAUUGAGGAUUUAAAUUCUCUCUCCUUCCUCUUUAAAAAUAUUUCAUUUUUAAUAAGAAACCAGGAGAGGCGGGCCGGCAUUAAAAAUGAACGUUGCUCAUAUUUGAGGAUGAUUCAGUUUACUCCCAAGAAUUAAAACUCAUAUCUUUUUACGUGGUUAUGUCAGUGUGCCAGUUUUCUUUGUUUAUUUUUUUUCUCAAUUUGGAUUUUUUUGGGAGAUUGAGCAUGUGGGUUUUGUAGCAAAUUCAUCACAACCCAACUUCCUCAAUUUCUUUUUCAUAUUUUCAUCUCAAAAGUGCCAGGACAAGGUGUGGUGCUUCGUUUUAUGGGCGUGUUUGUUGAUAUGCAAAACGAUGGUGCUGCAAAGGGUUUUUGGGUCUUCACUAGUUUUGUUAGGAGAAAGCAUGUUGAUUCAGUUCUCAUGAGGAGAAAGCCUGGCCAACAGUUGGCUAAGAAACUUUCUGCUAUUGACCUCAUUGCUAUUGGCGUAGGAGCAACAAUUGGAGCGGGAGUAUAUAUACUUGUUGGAACUGUUGCUAGAGAGCAAACAGGACCAGCUCUUACUAUUUCAUUCUUUAUUGCUGGAAUUGCAGCUGCUCUCUCAGCUUUUUGUUAUGCAGAACUUGCAUGUCGGUGCCCAUCUGCUGGGAGUGCCUAUCAUUAUACAUACAUCUGCAUAGGAGAAGGUGCUGCAUGGUUGGUUGGUUGGGCAUUGAUACUGGAAUAUACAAUUGGAGGUUCAGCAAUUGCUCGUGGCCUAACCCCAAAUCUGGCCUUAUUUUUUGGAGGUGAGGAUAACCUGCCUUCUUACUUGGCCCGUCACACCAUUCCUGGGCUUGGUGUUGUUGUAGACCCAUCAGCAGCUGUUUUGGUUCUUGUUGUCACUGUACUUCUGUGCAUGGGAAUCAAGGAGAGUUCAUUGGCCCAAGCCAUUGUUACAACAGUGAAUAUCUGUGGGAUGCUUUUUAUCAUAAUAGCUGGUGGAUAUUUGGCUUUUAAGACUGGAUGGAUUGGAUAUGAACUUCCUAGCGGGUAUUUCCCUCUUGGUUUAAAUGGGAUGCUUGCAGGAUCUGCAGUAGUGUUCUUUUCAUUCAUUGGUUUUGAUGUUGUUGCUAGCACAGCUGAAGAGGUGAAAAAUCCUCAACGAGAUUUGCCCCUAGGUAUAGGGAUAGCUUUGUCUAUAUGUUGCAUUUUAUACAUGCUUGUAUCUGUUGUUAUUGUUGGCUUGGUGCCAUACUUUGCACUGGACCCGGACACUCCUAUCUCUUCAGCAUUUGCUUCUCAUGGGAUGCAAUGGGCAGUGAAUAUAAUAACAACUGGGGCAGUAACUGCUCUCUGUGCAAGUCUAAUGGGUUCACUUCUUCCACAGCCACGAAUGUUUAUGGCAAUGGCUAGAGAUGGAUUGUUGCCAUCAUUUUUCUCAGACAUUAAUGAACAAACCCAAGUUCCAGUGAAGAGCACAAUUGCAAUUGGCUUUCUUGCUGCCGCCCUGGCUUUUUUUAUGGAUGUUUCACAGUUAGCAGGGAUGGUUAGUGUGGGUACUCUUCUUGCAUUCACUGCUGUUGCAGUUUCAGUCUUAAUACUCAGAUAUGUUCCACCAGAUGAGGUGCCACUCCCUUCUUCGCUUCAUGAAUCUGUUGAUUCGAUGUCACUGCAAUCCAGUGGUGGUGACAUUCAGGGGGUUUCCUCUCAAAACUUUAAGGGUUCUCUCAAUUACAGUGACAGUAGUCAAUGUUUGGUUGACAAAGCAGGGAUAUCAAUUGCACACCCUCUUCUUCAGAAAUGCAUAGCUCAAGGUACUAUUUAGACGUCUUCUUAGGUGCUUGACCAUGACCUUGUCUCAUUCUUUCCCCCUACUUUUGCAUCUUAUGUUUGAACAUGACUUGAGAGCUCAUUUAAGAUGUUUUAAAGAACUUAGAUACUGAAAAGAAAAGCCAACUGAAUAUUCCAAAAGGAUAGGGAUAGUGUCUAUUUUAUCUGGACUUGGAAAUUUUCCCUAGUAGAUCCAUGUUGACUGAAGACAACAUGGUAUGAGCAAGUUAAACGAAUGAGAAUAGAAAACCAAUUAAAAGAAAAGGAAUAUCCAAAAUUUGCAUAUCGAAAAUAGGCUUUUAAGUUACCUUUGUGCUUAAGGGUGGGAAACAAGGACUUUCUCUCUCUCUUUCCCUCCUUCUCUCACCCGAAGAACAUAGGCUAUUCUCUUAAUAGAACCUUCACUCCUUCAACCACUCAAAUUUUCAAUAUUCCUUUUUAUUUCUCAUCAAACAGAUGGCAUUUUGUUUGGCUUGGCUUUUCAUGAUGCAAUACAAGUUAUAUGGUGGGUUUCUCAUGGUGAAGAAUGUAUCCUUCAUUGUUUUUUUUUUUACUUGGAGAAUCAAAGGUGCAUUUGAUAUCAGUUCCUUUGCUUCUUGCCAAUUACACAGAUGAACAAAAUCAACUAAAGAGGAGGAAAAUUGCUGCUUGGAGUAUAACAAUUAUUUGCAUAGGGGUUCUUGUCCUUACAUCUGCAGCUUCAUACGAAUUCCUUCCCAGGUUUGUCAUAUAUUGUAAACCCUUGAACUUUUAUGGUUAAACAAAUAUCAAAUUAUUUGUUUGACCAUGUUCAUCCUUUUUUCUAUUCUCCUUUCUAUUUUGUUUAGGGCCAGGCUUUCAGGAGUUGUUACAUUACCAAAUAAUCUUUAACCACUUCAGCAUUUAAUAUCUUUACUUGAAUCUUCUUUUCCUUGUUCCCACUAGAAUCUGCUUGCAAUUUCAAACCAAUGUAUUUAUAUCUACAUUGUUACUGGUGCCACCUCCAUCAUUCUAUAAACAAAAUCAUUUCUAAAAUGAUCCUAUUUUUUGUUUCUAGAUUUCUAUCCUAACAUUACAAUCUUGGUUAAGUUCACUUUAUGAAUAUAUUUCCGUUUCAUCAUCCAACAUUUACUAUCAUAAAGCAUAGUCUCCUUAUUCACAGUUUUACAAAAUUUAUGCUUCAGAUUAACAGGGCUAUUAUGAUCUAGUUGCACUCCUCUAGUUUUCUUUCCCUGCUAAAUCCAUUCUGCUUUGAUUCUUUGAAUGAUUUCCUUUCGGAUAUCUCCUUUCUUUUCUGUCAUUGAAUCUCAGUACCAAAAAUGACAGCAGUGAAGCAUCUCUACUUCAUUUAAUCUAACAACAUUUCUUUCUUUGUUCAUGGUGCCGCUAAAGUUCUAAUGUGUGUAUUUUGUUUUGCUUGGCCUUUUGAAUUUUAGGAUGCAUCCAGUAGCUCUAGAACCCCUUGCAGUUCUAUGGUUGUCCAUUAAUGACCCAAGUAUUUACCGUAAUAUUGCAGGAAGGAUUAAAUUAUUCACCUAAUAAAAUAUAAUUUAGAGUUGGCAUAUGAAUAUGACACUAAACACACACACGGAAAAAAAAAAGGAAUGAUAUAAAUUACUAGAGAAAAUAAUCAGUUUAGUUUGCUGAGUUCCUACCUUCCUUGGUGAUGAGUCACCUUAGCUCAACUUGCAAUUGAGCUUAAUGUGAAGCUGUGGUAUAAGAGUACCUGACAUGUAAAAGUAAAGCCGAAGAAUGGGAACAUCAUAUACCUUUUUUGGCAGAUGUAGCAUAAUGUUAAUAAGAAGAAUAAAUGGGGAAAGUGUUUUCUGUGGCAUGCAGUACUGCAAGAAAUGUUUUUUCUUACUCUGCAAUUAAUUUGUUUCUUACAAUUAAUAACCUUGUAUUGUUGAUUCUACCAGCCUUCUGCGCUUCACAUUGUGUGCUGUGGGUGGAGCUUUUGUGUUGUGCAGUUUGAUUGUUCUAGCUUGUAUGGCACAGGAUAAUGCAAGGCACAGCUUUGGACACACAGGAGGUAUUUUCAAAUUGAGUGAGGCUUAAAUACCAAUUAAUGGGUCCCAUCUACUAAUUCCUUAAUCAUGAUGGCCACUUCAAAGCUCCACUAACUGUGGUUUUCAACCUAAAUGGUGGGUUAAUAUGAUGACAUUUAAAAGUGGCUUGGGAAUUGGUUAAAGUAAAAUAUUAAACUACCAAUUCAACCCACAUAAGAUAUCAAAUUGGUUAAAAUAACAAGUUAAAUCACUUUGUGGAAUUUCUUGGAUGUUCAAAACUGAAAGUAUUAGUUCUAGCUUAUAAAAAUCCAACUUUAAAGGAACAUAAAGUUGGAUUUUUUGCAAGUUAGAGAACAAGUUAACAGAUAAAUGAUUUGAAAUUGGUUUACUGUGUUACUCGGUCAAAUUCUUGUUUCUGACUUAGCUAGUAUGUUGUAUAGUAGUGUAAUUAGUAUCAGCUUAAAAGCUUUUCAUAAACAUACAAUAAUCAUCUAAGAGAUUAUUUGUUGUCUUCUGUACAGGUUUUGUUUGCCCUUUUGUUCCAUUUUUACCUGUUGCAUGCAUUCUUGUCAACACCUACUUGUUAGUUAAUCUGGGGCCCAGCACAUGGAUCCGUGUUUCAAUAUGGCUACUAGCAGGAGAAUUGGUUUAUUUAUUUUAUGGCCAGACACACAGUUCACUGAUAAAUGCGGUGUAUGUUCCUACUGCUUAUGCUGAUGAGAUCUAUCGCACCUC